AAAAUAGUGGGAAGACGCAUGAGAAGCAGUAACAAGCCUACCAAGCCUGGUGACAGCUGGUUGUCCAAGGCAGAAUCUUAGUUCAACUUUAAACUUACCCACAGAAUUACUUAAUCUCCCUGUAAGUUUAAGUGUUAGUCUACAGAGGGACAGCUCUUUAGACCCUAGGAAACGAUCUUCUUACAGAGAGUAAAAAAUAUUACCACCAUAGUUGGCCCAAAAGCAGCCACCAAUUAAGAAAGUAUUUAAGCUCAACAUCUAACUACUCUCUAUAAAAGGCUAU